rnacentral:snRNA from 1 species
AUGCUCACUUCAGCAGCACAUAUACUAAAAUUGGAACAUUACAGAGAAGAUUAACAUGGCCCCUGCACAAGGAUGACCUGCAAAUUCAGGAAGUGCUCCAUAUUUUU